rnacentral:rRNA from 1 species
AGAGUUUGAUCCUGGCUCAGAUUGAACGCUGGCGGAAUGCUUUACACAUGCAAGUCGAGCGGCAGCGCGGGGGCAACCCUGGCGGCGAGCGGCGAACGGGUGAGUAAUACAUCGGAACGUGUCCUUAAGUGGGGGAUAGCUCGGCGAAAGCCGGAUUAAUACCGCAUAAGCUCUGAGGAGGAAAGCGGGGGACCGGUAACGGCCUCGCGCUGUUGGAGCGGCCGAUGUCGGAUUAGCUAGUUGAUGGGGUAAAGGCUCACCAAGGCGACGAUCCGUAGCUGGUCUGAGAGGAUGAUCAGCCACACUGGAACUGAGACACGGUCCAGACUCCUACGGGAGGCAGCAGUGGGGAAUUUUGGACAAUGGGGGCAACCCUGAU